rnacentral:siRNA from 1 species
ACGAACAAGGUUCUCAUGGCCAAU